UGAAAAGAACUUUGAAGAGAGAGUUAAAUAGUACGUGAAACCGUUAUGAGGUAAACGGAGAGGCCCGGCGGGUCGCUUUGGUGCUUUCAGUUGGGCGGUGGUGGAGAAUGCCGUUGCGAGAUGUUCACGCACUCGUUUCGGUGUUUAACGCUGCUGCCUUGCGCAUUAGUGCCAUUGUGAACGCCGCGACCGUCUUGGUGGCGACCAGAAACUCUGCGUGCAGGUAGCCCGGCAGCCCUCGGGAGGCUGGGUGUUACAGUGCGCGGAAGUGACGGCUUGUUGCUGGGGCGGGGUACCUGGCCGCGUCUGCUCUUCGGGGCGGGUGUUGGCGUUGGUCGUGGUUGUGCGUGUUUUGCUCACUGUUCUCAGAGGGCGGGGCGCGUGCUGCUUCGGUCCGGCGUCGGCGCUCUUGACGUCAAGGGUCU
rnacentral:rRNA from 1 species